rnacentral:pre_miRNA from 1 species
AGUGGCAGGGUGUGACAUUUGCAAUGCGUUAUGAUUAUCAUCUGUAAAUGCAUAUUCUGGCACUAA